rnacentral:rRNA from 1 species
GUGUCAGCCGCCGCGGUAAAACGUAGGAGGCGAGCGUUAUCCGGAUUUACUGGGCGUAAAGCGCGCGUAGGCGGUUGGUCAAGUCGGAUGUGAAAGCCCCUGGCUCAACUGGGGGAGGCCAUUCGAUACUGAUCGGCUUGAGGGUGAGAGAGGAAAGUGGAAUUCCCGGUGUAGCGGUGGAAUGCGUAGAGAUCGGGAGGAACACCAGUGGCGAAAGCGGCUUUCUGGCUCACCCCUGACGCUGAGUGCACGAAAGCGUGGGGAGCAAACGGGAUUAGAAACCCCCGUAGUCC